rnacentral:misc_RNA from 1 species
CUCCAUGCCGGGCAGGACGUUCUGGACGCGGCCCAGAUAGAUGUUGCCGGCCAGGGACCGGCGGGUCCUCCGGGCGACGUAGUGCUCGACGAGGACGUCGUCCUCGAGAACGGCUACGUGCACGUGCUCGCCGGAGCCCGAGACGAGCAUGCGGCGUGAUCCAGGCGGCGUCGGCGUCUCGCGCGGAACGCGAGGCCUACGUGGGCCCCGGCGGGCUCCGCCGCGGCCCCGAGAUCCUCUCGAGCUCAAAUUUCCUACCCCUGACUCCGCGCACCCGGGGACUUACGAGGGCGUGGUCACCUCGAGAUCCCCGCCAUGUCGUCGGGGGUACGACCGGUGGGUACGGGGGCGUCUCAACGUUGCAAAUCUGCCGGUCA